rnacentral:lncRNA from 1 species
UAUGCAUAGCUGGUAUCGUUCAAGCACAUUGGAAACCGGACGGAACCUUUCUGUUACAAACGUUGAGAAGAACGCUGAGAGAUAUUGGAACGUUAAGGUUGAUGCCAAGAACGUUAGCCCUAAGAGCAGUGCAGAGACAAAUCGCAGCGUCGAGGUCAACCAAACCUUGGAUAAGCGAGCAACAUGGUUGAGCUGAUGGCUGACCCAACUGGAUGUUAAGUAGACUGCUUAGGACAUUUGCACAUACACCGAGCUUGAGAGCAUCUAUAGGGCAGUUUCCAGAUGAACCAGGGGUGCUUGGAGGUGUGACCGGCCUAGGAUUAGGACUUGGGACUGAUGGAGUUGGGACCGAAGGACGAACUGGAGGAGGACAUGGGACCGGCUUGGGUUUAGGACUUGGGACUGGCUUGGGUUUAGGACUUGGCUUGCAGUUGCAAUUAGUUGCAACGGUUAAGGUGAAAAAGAGGAUGUUGAGAGCAAAGAAAAGAGCAAGAGAGGCUGAGUUCUUUGAAGCCAUUCUUGUUUUCUCAAAGAUAUAUUCGGUGUUUUGAUGGUUAUUGAAUGAAUAUAAAUGAAGAGAAGGUGUAGGUAUUUAUAGGGGUUUAGGAGGAUGUCAAGAGGACCAACUUGAUUUCGUAUACUUAAUUAUUAAUUUAUAGAUAUUUGUAAUUAUUUGCGCUUAUCUAUAUAUAUAUAAAAAAUUUGACCAUUUUUUCCCUAUAUGCAUGUACCUACGUAGAACCAUGAAACUUUUUUUGGAAAAUCUUUUUUGUAAAGCAUUUUAUAUUUAAGAAAAUAUUUGAUUCAUUGCAUUCAUAUAAGUAUUAAUGUCAAUGCUGUUAUUAUCACCACCAUCAUGAGGUCGUGGAUGACCCCAGUGCUGCAGUGCAAAAGUUAUUUAGAUUUCUUUUGCAUUGGCUCGUAGCCAUUUUACUUGACGGCUUCUAUACGUCAGGUUGGGUAAUAAAUUUCCAGUGUAGUUAUAGUCUAUGUAUUUAUAUCAAGCUGAUCCCGGCCAUGGGAGACACACCCAAAUAUCUCGACACACACUCGAAAAAAUUGUUAUAUUUGAAUAUUUUUGAAUUUAAGAUACCCUAAUGCAUAAAAUAGGAAGACAUUAAAACCCUGCAUGAUUCGGGGUUUGUCUGAAUAUGGUAGUCGGUUAGGGGUGUGAAUCCGGAACCUCCAAAUUUUUUUCUCUAUGCACAAUGGACAAGGUUAAAACAAUUUGUACUAUUUUGUAUGCAAUUUGUUUAAUGAAACAAUAGAGAUGAAUUGCUAAAAAUUAAAGUUUUAGAGCCAAAAUUACUAAAAAUGUCAUCUGAAUAAUGUUGUAAUUCAUCUCAAUAAAAUUAAAGCCAAAAGAUACUUAAAUUGAAGUAAAAUAUGACAUUCGUUAGAAGAACAGAGCGAUCGAGCAAUUGACUAGGACAAUCUCAUGAAAAACAAAACUCAACACUUUCGAAUUUUUUUGUUAAUAUUUUGAACAUGCAUGGUUUACUCACUAGUUACGUUAGUUUCAUGAUAUAAUAAACUGAUAUUAUUUAAAAUCAAUCCAAAAUUAAUUAACUGGUUGUUUGAGAAAAUAUAUUCAUAUAUAAAAGAAUAGAGAAAUCUAAAAUUUUUUAAUUUUCCAGAGAAGGCUGGUUUCUCAAAAUCAAUAAAAAAUAUAUCUCCCAAAGUAACAUUUCAUCUUUGAUUCAUGUUAGAAUCUCCACCAAGUGAUUUCACCAAGAUACACACUGUUAACAGUUUUCGAUUUAUGAAUCCAAAAGGCCAAAACAACUUCAUAAUCAUAUACUGAUAUACAUAUGUCUUGCAUACCUUAAAUAAUUUAAUUAUCAUUAGUAUUUUAGUCUUUUCCGCUACUAGUUGCCCUUUGUAACUUCUUUCAAAAUUUUGAUAAUGAUAUAAAUACUUCUAUUUAAUACUAAAGAUAGAAUAAAAACUUCAUGAUCAUAUAUAUAGAAGAUUCUACAGGGAAAAGAGGCCGCGACGAUUUUUGGUAGGAGGCUGCUGGUGAUCAAACACGUCUCUGAGCUGAGCCAAAAAUAAAAAUAUGAAUCUAAAUUAUUGUAUUAAUGUUACUUACUGAGACCAAUAUACAUACACGAAGUGUACAAUAGAGAUAUAGGAUGCUGAUAGUUGUCGGCUAAGACUAGAUAUUUUAUAUUUCUAUUCGCCAUUAUCCAUUAUUAAGAAUUGUCUUAUAUAUGUUAGAUGUUGACGAUCAUAAUUUCUUAAUAAAGGCUUUAUAAUAUGUUUCGGGCUAAAUUUUCGUAGGAAUUGACGCUGUACGUGAGGUCCAAAUAUAAGCAGAAACAUUAGUGGUUCCAAAUAAAGUCAAACCGACGACGACUGAUUAAUCCCAAUCGAUCAUUUUCGUUUUUUUUGUAAGAAUUCGUUGAAUCCUCUUCACCAUAAAGAAAAAAACAUUUUGUUACGACGUUUGUCGAAAAGAAGAGAUAUGUUUGCAUGUUUUGUCAAACUGAAAACAAAUUACGAUUAUACCUUUAAAAGUUACAUAAUAGUGCAUGACGCUCGGGACGAAACUAAUAUAGCUAGUAAUAUUACAUGUUUUGGUUUCGGUCAUGGAAGGAUAACAGGCUUUGCUCCAGAACCUCCUAGUAUUUAAAAAAAAAAAAGAUAUACAUAAACUUGUUACAUUCAAGUCUGUCACUAUCGAUAGAUGUACGUAAAUAAACUUUGUGUAUUUCAAAGUUUAGCUUCAAAUUUAAUAUUUAGGGUUUAGAGUGUAGUUUUUAAGGUUUAGUUCGAUGUAGUGUGUAUUGAAGAUCAACUAUAACUACAUUGUUUUUUUUUAAUUUUAUUUUUUAUUUUUUUUGGACAAAGACUUGUUUUCAUUCAACUAAGAAAGAAACCAAGUACAAAGAUAAAAGGAUACUGAAAUCCCAAAGUUUAAAAUACAACAAAGAAGGGCAUUUCCCAAUGCCACACAAAGGUAAACAAACAGAUAGAUAAAGUACAUCAACAAUGGUUCCAUAAGAGCUUUGAGCCAAACUCUUGGAGGCGAUUUGGUACAUGUGAGCAGUGCCGGCCCGAUAAAUUUGGGUGCCUAAGCAAAAUUAAAGCCCAUAAAAAAAAAUUUCUUUUAAAUUAGAUUUUUACCAUUAAAAAGAAUGUUGUAGUUGUCUCUAAACACCCACAAUAUUUUUAAAAGGCCCUACAAAAAUUAUUGUAUAUAAGAAAACUUAACAAAUUUUUAAGUAAAAAGGCCCUUACAUUUUGAAGCCCAAAUCGGUGGUUUCAGUGGCUUGCCCUCUGCGCCGGCCCUGCAUGUGAGAUCAAAGAUUGUUGACAAUUGUUCCACGAACAAAUCAGUGGAUGAGAUAAUGGUCAGUAUCAAAAGAUGUAAUGACGUUGAAGAAGAAGCCAAAGACAUAGAUCUCGCCGGCACGAGAAGAACUACACGAAGUAUGGCUUUGGCAAGGAUUCGAACAAGGUUUCAGGAAAGGAUGUUGGUGCUAUGAUGCUUAAAGUUGAUUGCUAGGAUUGCCAUGAAGUGAUGGUUGACCGUAGGUAAACCAAGAUCGCAAUCAAAAAUCUGACAACUUGGAGUCGGGACACAAAAGCCAUAAAACUUUAAGGAUUGAGGUUCGCAUAACAUAGACAUAAGGGAAACUAAAGCCACGGUUCUCAUAUAGUUAAAGCAAAGCCAUAGAAACGACAGUGAAUUACUUCUCAGAUGGAGUCCUCGACCAUUGAGUUUGUAAUCACACAGCCAUCGACAAGGUUUUGGCAGAAAAUAAAUUGGGUCAGGCUUGGGGUUAUGAUAAUAAUGAAUGGACACACACCUUAUGGGCUUGGGAGGCUGAAGCCUUAAUGGGCCAAUUUCAGGUUUAGGGCCCACUUGGGGAAACCCUAAUCUCGCAUUGGGAGUUGACGGAUUUAGCUCAUGGCGGCUGGCCGAGAAAGGUUGCUGGUUUUGCACCGGAUUCAGCUUCAUCGAAAUCUUUACUGGCGGCGGUACAAGAAUAGCGUGGUCCGAUGUUGUGACGAGCAAACAAGAAGUCUUACUAGAACCAGAAUGAAGAGAGAUUACCUGAAGAAGAGAGUCGUCUUGAGCCAUCGAUGUCUCCCCUGAGCAUGGCACACCUGCUGGUCCAAGAGGGAUUGUUCCUACCAGCAACGAAGCCCAGGGGUGUGGAUGUUGGAUUCGCACACUCAAGUAUUUUUAUUAAGUAGGAAAGAUUAUUCUUGAGGGACAAAAAUAAAUAUGUAAAAGGCUUAUGAAUUGUUACAAAAAUUGCUAUAGUAUUUCUUGCUCGAAAGAACGAUCCCCAUACAUGGCCAUUGGCCUUCUUAUUUAUACAUAGAAAAACGACAUUUAAGUGGCUAAUUAAGUACAAUUAUUCUCUCUUAAAUGUGUCCGUUUGAAUUUGCUUUUAAUGCUUAACGUUUGAAUUCUGAUCUUCAUGGGCCUCGCCUUUUGGCCAAAAUGUCCUUGGACUGACUUAACCAUUACUUCGUCUCCGGCCUCGUGUCGAGGUGUAGUCACUUCGGAUUCUCCUUACGGUGAUAACCACUUCGACUGUUCUUUUGACUUGUGGGUAUAAUUGCUUUAUCCUUUAUGGGCCGUUAUCCUGACUACGUGGCAAUCUUUGGUUGGUCCUGGACCUCUGGUGCGGGAUCCGACACCAACAAUUAGCCCCCCAAGUUCUUCGAAGUGCCAUUCCAAUUCGGAGGACUUUAAAUGCUUAAAUGACCAAAAAUUGCGCUCGAGAAUCUUUCUGAUUUCCCGCCGAAAAUCUCAUCACUCCUUUAAUUUCGGUACUAGCCAUUUUUACCCGAGUGACAUCUGUCAUCAUUAUGACCGUAUAUUAAUUAAUUACUAUUAAAACGGGAAAAACCUUCUCACUUCCCACACAACUUCCGAGGCGGUUCCAUCAUUUAGCUUGUGUAACGUAACUUUUUUUUCAUCAUCAUUUUCUACUUUUACAUUUGCACUUUAUUCGAAACUUCUCUCUUCUUUUCCUUCGCCAAAUUUCUCUUCGUCGGAUCUCGAACCUUUCAUUUUCCCCAAUGACUUCUGAUUCUGAAAGGCCCGAAUCUCCGUCAUUCGACGAUAGGCGCUCUAGUAAUGACGAAUGCACUCGCCCUAAUGAUAUUGCCGGUCCGCACUAUAGAUCCACUUGUACUCUUCAAUCCCUCGAGCGGUUGAGAGAGCUUUGCCGAAUUCCGCCAGAAAUUAUGGCGGAAGCACAAAUAGCUGCCCCCACAGAAUCCCCAGAGAACCAUCGCGAUGGUUACUUCUGUGUGUACGAGAUUUAUUUCAAGGGUUGCGGAUUAACCUUCCCACUUCCCGAAGCCCUGGUUCGGUACUUGGCGGUUCUCGAGAUCGCUCUUCCUCAAUUAACCCCCAAUCUUCUCCGAACCAUACUCGGAAUUAUAACAGUAGCGGCGGAAGCCGGAUACAUUAUAGGGGUCCCCGAGCUGAAUGAGCUUCUAAGCGUGAGAAGUUCAUCGAAGAAGACAGGGUAUUUCUCGGCAUACCCUAAUGCUAACAGGAACGUCAUUUCACAUCUUCCAAACAAGGAUGAAAAUUGGCAUCACCCUUGGUUCCUGAUUAAGAAAACCCCUGCUUCGAUUGGAAGUCUAUCAGAUCUACUCCCAUCGAAGUGGUCCGCGAAACCUGGUAGAAAUUAGGUCGCAUACAUUCCUCCAAUUUUAUUAUUCCUAUUGAUUAAACUUGUUAUUUUCACUUUGCAGCUUUUGUCGCUCCGACUUUACCAACUGAAGAAUUCAUUGGCUUCUUCAAAAUAAUCCUCGAAGAGGAAACCCUUUGGAAUUCUUUCACUCUCGAACGGUUCAUAGAAGCCAAUCGAAAACUCAGGAUGAGCCCUCCCAAUCAACUUCAUCGUCUUCCGCCUCUUCCCUCGACCCAGGGAAUGUCAGCUCGGGCUCUCACUGGCCAGCGAAAAAUGAUUUCCAAGCCGAUGGCUGAGGCUUGUGACGAGAACAAGGCGUUCCUUGCGACCGCCAUUGACAAAAAAGAUUAUAGCAAAACCUUAUUGGUUGACGACGGUAGCACCGAAGGAGCCAGAUCCGUCGCCGUUUUCAGAUUGACACCUCGACGUGAACGUCACGAUGACCGUCCUCCCCGGAGGCUCCAAUCUCCUAACCGCGACUAUCCUCGUUCUUCCUGAGAUGACUUUAGCAACGAACCGCUUAAGGAUUUAAUUCGCAAAAAGAGGGAUAGGUCAUCCCGCAGUGGUUCUUCUCCGUGAAGAGAGAAGUCAAGGGCCCGAACUGACCGUUCUCCUCGAUCGUCCCCUCCUACUGAACCAAUGGGUCCUCCUCGUCCUGUUGAUAUGUCAUCUUCUUCUCAACGUAGUGGUGAGAAGACGAACCUGGGUGCAGCUUCUCAGAAGGAAAGUUCUGAGUCUCGAGAUGACUCUCCGAAGACAAAGCCUGCUCUUGUUCCUCAGAUCAAAUCGCUCUCAGGUAUGACGAUAUACAUGUAUUCUUUUCUUUUCGUCUUGUACUUAUUUUGAAUUUCUAAGACCUUUCCUCUUUUGCUUUCGUAGCCAUGGAGAAAGAGGGUAACGUUUUUCGGUGCUUCAAAACCCGAUCAGGUGCGAUCCUGCCAGAAUUCAACAAGUGGCGCUCUGCAAUUCGUGAACGAUACCUACUUCAUGCUCAUCAUUCAUCUCGGGUUAGUUUCGCUUCAUUUUUCUGACUUCACUGUCAUUCUUCGAACUGAUCCGUCAUUCCGGGUUUAUGUGUAAUAUCAGGCGAACGACGAGCUCAAUGACAUAAUUGAACAUUACGAAGGGUUGGUCAUUGGUCGGGAGAAGGAGAUAAACACGUGGAAGAGCAAGUUUUCUAAUCUCGAGGCUGAACUCCGUUCUUCUACCGACUCCAAGCAUGAUUUGGAGGACAAGGUUGAUGGUCUAUCAUCCGAGCUUGCGAAGAUAAAGGGGGAGCUGCAAGACCAGUAUGACCGGAAUUACAAGCUCCAGGAUGAACUUUUUGGUGUUCAGGGUAGACUUCAUGAGUCUGAAUCAUUCGCCGAUACCCUGAACAACCAACUUACCGAGCUUCACGCGAAGUACCAUGCGAUCGCCAAGUUGCGUGAUUCCGAGUUAGCAAGGUCAGCAUCGAAGGCCAGAAAGGAGGUUAAGGGACGCGGGAUGGAGUUGAUCCAAGGGGCCAUCCGCUUCAUGCAGACCGAGAAAGCUAGGUCAGAUUUGGAAUCAGACAUCAAGGAGCACGAGAGCAACCUGAUUCUGUUGGAUCAAAUCCAUGAUACAGAUUUCUCCGAGGAGCUAGAAAGGACCGAACUGUCGGCUAAUCUUUCAGAAAAGCGGAGUCGUUUGGCAGCUCUUCCUACUUUGACCUUCAAUCCGCAGGACUUCGAGGAAUUCUUCACUGAAUCGUCUCCUAUAAGUGAAUCAGGUCUAGACUGGGCAGGUAACGCUUGGCUCCUGACACUUACUACCUUUUUCUCACCUUAUGUUUUGUUUUUUUUUAAAAAACAAUUGACUGGAACUGUCCUUCCCAGGCUCAAGUGAGACGGAAGAUGUCUUCCCACCCGAAGUUCCUGCGGCACCGGCGGUCACCCCGGAGGAUGGUUGUACUGUGGAGGGCGGACCAGGAGCCCCAUCUGACCAAGCACCAACCAAAGAGGAGAAUGAAACUUUGACUGCCGAGCCGGAGUCCGAGGUGGCUGUUACUCCGUAGUGGCUGCGUCCACUUUAAAUUGGGAAUUGUCCCAUUUAUUUUAAAACUUAAUUUCGAACUUGUUUUUGCCUAAGGAGGCUUUAUUAUUUCUUUUGAACGAGAGAUUUGCCUGAGGAGGCUUUUAAACCUUUCUAGGUUUUGACCCCAAGGGGGUUUGGUUAAAAUUAUGUGCGGGUUUGCAAAGUCCGCUUUUAACCCUUUGUGGCCUUGUGGUUAUGCUUUCGAGAUUUUUAAGCUGAUCAGACCUUUCUCUUAAGAAUGCGAGAACUGAGCUCGGCUUAAAGCGAGUUCCCCAUUUCGGGUUUAGUCAACUCGAUAAAUUUAUUGGGCUUGGGCCUUAGAAACUUUUGUAGUUAAUGCGACGGUUGCUCUUUCCCUUCUUAUUUCUUGAAAGUAGGAAAAGCGGCUCGUCUUUAAUGUAAUAAUUGCCUUUUCUCGAUUUUCCAAAAAUGGUUUAAUCCACUAAGGCACGCCACCAUUAUUGAAUUUUCAUUCCCAAGGCAAACCUUAACCCUAUUAUAAAUAGGAGUUUGUCCAGCUUUGAUCUUUCCUCAAGAAACUUCAUAACACCAUAUUAAUGGAAAACGAAAACAUAGCCCCCAUUGAUCCCGGCAGCCCACUCUUCUUGUCCGGUGACAGCUUUGAACCGGCCGGCGUUCUUUUCCCUCACGCCGUCUUUCACUUUCCUUCAAAGGAGAAGAAAGAGGCUUGCGAAUUUAUUGACAAGGUUAAUAUCUGUCGUCUUUGACUAAAAACUGUUUGUCUCAUCUUAUUCAUUCAUCUUUAUGCUAGGUCGCCGACAAACACCGUCGCUUGUGCGAAGAGAGACAGCGGCUAGGCCUCAAAAGGCAAACACUCGAGGCUCGCAUCGCUCGGGUGGAGAGGAAGAUACGGGCUUUGGAAAGUGACCCCUUUCAAUGGGAAUCGCGGAACUUUGAUUAUGUCGCUAAGAUCCCGAAGAUGCUCCGGAUGUAUCUCCAUGCUAAAAGAGUUCCGGGUCCCGUGAAUGCUCCAGUCCAUACCGUUCCAUCCGAUAGCGAGGAAGAAGACGAAGAGGAGGCUAGUACCAGUCGGAAACGCGUUCGGGAUCGUCCCGAAGUGGAUGCCAAGAACAAGGCGUCCACUUCGAAAACUAAACCGGCGAUGAAGGAGCCUGUUCCUGAGCCUCUUCCAUAAAUGUUCUCUAACUUCUUCACUUACUUUGAACUCGUAAUGGGCUUCGGCCCCUUUUUAUUUAUGGAAAUAUUUGCAAUUUUCCUUACUCUUCAAAUAUUCUCGGAGAUGCGUCUUUUAAUGCAGGAUCGGUUUAAGGGCAUAAAUCUUUCCGCGAAUCAUUCCAUUCUUAGGAUAGAAUCCGCAGCUUACCAAGAAUAUGACAUUCCUAUAAAUUAUAGUCUCAACUUCUCUUUUCUCCUCACCACUCUUUUUCAUUUUAGCAGGUAUGGAGUUUAACCUUCGAUGUUCAGAAUCUAUGUCCAACUUCUCCAGGAUUAGAAUGAUAAACGAAGAUGCUCCAAAUGAGCCAAAUAGGCGGCCUCUUCCACCUCGCGGCAUCUUCAGAUCCCAGAUUCGAGCUCCAUGCGCUUUGAUCAGGGAUCUCUCGAUCAGAGACCAAGGAACAGCGAUGGCAUUCAUAGAUGCACUUGCGCUUCAACAUCGGAAGCUUACGUUGAAAAAAAGGAGACUCCGGAAGAGGAUUAACCGGAUGCAACGCAGGCUUACUACGGUAUCAAGAGAUCUUCACGUCCUUGAAUCUCACCCUGAAGAAUGGAUCGAGCUUGGAAUCUCUGACUUUGCUCGAAUUCCGGACUGCAUGAAGCCAAUCCUCGACCUUGCUGGUCAAGGAGUUGAAGUGUUCUGCUCGUCAACAAGAUCUCCAUAACCCAAAGUGUACGAUGAGGGACAUUCCAUUUUUGUUUUUGAAUAAACGCUCUAUUUCCAAUCUCUUGUAUGUUCGCAUAGCCGAACCUUUAUUUGCUUCACUUGUUCGCUCAGUCGAACCUUUUCCUUUAAUAAAGAAAUAAAACAAAAAAUUUUAUUAAUAGCUGAACUCGUUUCCGAGCUGCCUACGUACCCAUUUCGGGAUCAAGCCACAUCGUAGUUCAUGUACAUAAAAAUGCAUGUAGCUUUAAACAUAAAACUUCUUUAGGUUGAUCACAUUCCAAGGUCGCUUGACUGGCCUGUCUUCUAAGUCUUUCAAUCUAUAAACACCGUUCCGAACCACUUCAGUAAUAAUGUAAGGUCCUUCCCAAUUAAUACCAAGUUUACCGGCACCUUCUUCUUUUUUAUUGUCAAAGACGCGCCUUAACACAUAAUCUCCCACGAAGAACGGCCUACUUUUGACUUUAGAGCUAGGAAGCAUGGAAGCGCCGUCCAACCUCUGAUUCUCGCUUUGGAACCAGAAGCGGGUGCGGAAGCGACCGGAAUCGUGAUGGAAGCGCGGUUCCAGAAAAUUGAAGAUUGGAAGCUUCUGGGAAGCGUUCGAUUCGGACUUGGAAGCGUGGUUUUUUUAUCAACGGAAGCGCAGCCUUCCCACAGAAACCCACCCGUCGUUUAUCCUCACAAACUAAUCCAGAGAGUAGUGAAUCAAGAAGAAGUACGUACCUCCGGUGAACAGAUCUGACGUGGAGAUCACAAGAGAGUAGAGAGAAGACGCAAAGCUCAAAACUUUCUGUUAUAGACUCGUAAAAGGGAAGUGAAUGAAGAAGAAGAUACAGAGCCAACAUGAAAGACCCUUUUACCCUUCUAGUUGUGACUAAUUACUGAUACCCACAACUUGUGCUUCUCACGUGUCAAUGGAGAGAGGUUGUCUUGAAACCUCUGAUUGCUUGAGAGUCUUCAUGACACCAAAACCUACACUCUUUUCAAGUUGUCUUCGGUGGUUUCAGUUUUAGAUCUAAUCGGCGACUCUUCUCUCAAGUCAGUCUCCGACAAAUUUAUUGAAAGGAAUCUGACUACCACAAGCCAUAUUUGGGCUUUAAUUUUUUUAUUCUUUUAAGUCUAAUUUUGUUUAAAUGGCCCGUUUUUAUUUGCGUUUUUAUUCUUUUAUUAAGACAUCCAAAAUAUUUUAUUGUUAACAAUGCAUUUCUUACUUUUGAUGACUAUAUUUAUUAUUCUACAUGUUAUGUAUUUCGUUUGGUUUAAAAUUUUCUCAAUUAUCAUGCAUAUCCAAUGGUUAGUGUAGAGUAAAUUAAAUAUUUAAUAAAUCUAUAUAUAUAUAUAUAUGUAUAUAUUUACGCUUCUAACACGUACCCGCUUCCUAACUUUUUUAAAAAACUCGUUUCCCCGCUUCCAAACGCUUCCGCUUCCGAUUCCAUGCAGCUUAGCUUUAGAGUUGUAAUAUCGGGCUGCUGCCUGCUGGUAGUUCUGAAUCCGAAUCAAAGCUUGAUCACGCCUUUCAUUUAUGGUAUCUAGUGAAUCAUUAAGCAUUGCUGAAUUUUCUUCCUCAUUUAAUGGUGCUUCUGUUCGGCGAAGUCCGGGCACGUUGAGUUCAGCUGGUUGAGUUCAGCUGGUACUACUGCCUCCAUGCCAUAAACCAAAGAGAAUGGAGUUUCUCCGGUAGGUCGCCUAGGGGUUGUACGAUAGGCCCAUAGGACGGGUUGGAGUUCUUCAUACCAUCCUCCCUUUAGAUGAUUCAAACGUUUCUUGAGAUUGCUCAGUAUCGUCUUGUUCGCGGCUUCAGAUUGACCAUUUCUUUGCGGAUAUCGUGGAGUAGAGUAACUAACUUUGAUUCCCCAGUCUGCACAAAAGGCAUCAAACUCUUGUGAAAUGAAUUGUGGCCUGUUAUCGGUGACUAUUUUAUACGGAACUCCAUGUCGACAUAUAAUAUUCUUCCAAAUGAAAGUCUUCACCGCCGAAUCCUUGAUGCCAACAUAUGCCUCAGCUUCAAUCCAUUUCGAAAAGUAGUCCGUCAAGACCAAAAGGUAUUGUACACCUCGAGUUGAUCUGUGCAAUAGUCCAAUGAUGUCCAUUGACCAUCUCAUAAACGGGUACGGGGCGGAGAUGGAAGAGAAUAACUCCGAAGGUUGAUGGAUCAAUGGUGCAUGGAGUUGGCAGCGCUUACAUCUUUGGGCAAAUUUAACACAAUCCGUGAUCAUAGUGGGCCAAUAGUAUCCCAUUCUUUUAACUUUAAAAGCCAUAGCUCUUCCUGAUGAAUGACUCCCACAUAAUCCUUCAUGCACUUCGCUCAUGACGAUUUCGACUUCGGGCCCAAAAAUGCAUAAUAGGUAAGGGUCGCUGACACCUCGUUUAUAUAAUGCAUCCUUUGAUAGACAAAAUUUCGCGCUAACGACUUUCAUUUUCCUGGCCUGCCACUUAUUCUUUGGGAGCUCGCCUGUCAUGAUGUAGUGCUUUAUUGGCUCCCUCCAGUCAGCCCCCCAGUCUUUAGCCGAAAUUUGGUCAACCUUGUAAAAUACUCGUGGUUCUGGUUCGGGAUGUUCGUUUGGUUCAAGAACAUCCUCCUCGAUUAACGGCUCUAUUUCUAAUAUCGUUUCUGGAAUCACAUCUUCUGCUAAGACAACGGGUUCCUUGUUAGAUGUGUUUGAUCCCUUUGACUUCCUCCGUUUGUUGGGUGGUGGUUCGAUCUCUGGUUUGCCAUGGUCACGUGCCGCUGCUCGAGACCUUGUAACGACGAGGGUUUCUUUGUUGUCUUGAAUGCUUCAUUCUGAAAUGCAUUCCACUGGAAUAACUCUUUUCAACUCAGGAUCUGAUGUUGACGCUAAUGCGGCAAUUGCGUCCGCAGUUGUAUUCUCCCCCCGAGGUAUGCAGAUUAAUUUGAAUUUCGAGAAAUUUUUAGAUAGAUCCUUCACCACUUUGAGGUAUGCUUCCAUUCUUGAGUCCUUGGCUUCAUAGUCUCCAUUAAACUGGUUAACUACUAAUUGCGAAUCACAAUAAGCCACUAUUUCCUUAGCUCCAACUCCUUGUGCCAAUCGAAGUCCGGCAAUCAGGGCUUCGUAUUCUGCCUCGUUGUUGGAGGCAUUGAAUAACAAUCAGAAUGACUGUUCUAGAAUUUCUGAUGUUGGAGACUCCAACUUGAUUCCCACUCCGGAUCCUUGUUUUGUUGAAGACCCAUCUACAUGUAAUUUCCAAGUUUGGUUCUCCGGUUGCUCUAUCGUUCCAGUAUUGUAGCUCGGUCAAGAAGUCUGCUAAAACCUGAGCCUUCAUACUGAUCCGGCUUUUGAAUUCUAUAUCGUACUCGCUUAAUUCCACCGCCCAUUUCGCCAAACGUCCGGACUGACUUGGACUAUGAAGUAUUGUUCGGAGUGGUUGGUUGGUUAAUACUUCAACCGGAUGGAAUUGAAAAUAUGGGCGCAGCUUCCGAGCCGAGAUCACCACCGCGAGUGCGAGUUUUUCCAUCAUUGUGUAUCUGGUUUUCGGAUCCGUCAUUGACUUACUUACGUAGUAAAUUGGCUUCUGUUCCCCGCGGUCUUCCCGAACCAAGACUCCACUAACCGCAUCGUUUGAAACCGACACGUACAAAUAAAGUUUUUCAUCCACUUCUGGCUUGGACAGUAUAUGAGGAGUGGUUAAGUAAGCCUUAAGCUGCCCAAAAGCUUCUUCAUACUUCUCAUCCCAUAGGAAUCCUUUGUUUCCUUUUAGAAUUUGGUAGAAAGGUAACGACUUAUCUGUUGAUCUCGAGAUAAAACGAUUCAAAGCCGCAAUCCGCCCAGUCAACCGUUGUACUUCCUUGAAGUUUCUUGGAGAUGGCAUGUUUAGAAAGACGUUAAUUUGGUUUGGAUUGGCUUCAAUCCCUCUUUCUGUCACAAUAUAGCCAAGAAAUCCUCCGGAUGGGACUCCGAAUGCACUUCGCCGGGUUCAGCUUCAUUUGAUAUUUAUUGAGAAUAUCAAAACAUUCUUCUAAAUGCUUAACGUGAUCUUCUUUCUUUAACGAUUUAACCAACAUAUCAUCUAUGUAGACUUCCAUUGUUUUCCCGAGAUGAUGGUGGAACAUUUUGUUAACCAACCGUUGAUAAGUUGCCCCUGCAUUUUUCAAACCGAAAGGCAUUACCUUAUAACAAUAGAUACAUCUAUCAGUGAUAAAUGACGUUUUUUCCUGGUCUUCGGGGUUCAUCAUUAUUUGAUUAUAACCCGAGAAUGCGUCCAUGAAUGUUAACAGCUCAUUCCAAGCGGUGGAUUCUACAAGUCGAUCUAUAUGCGGGAGCGGGAAACUGUCUUUGGGACAUGCUUUGUUGAGGUCUGUGAAAUCGAUGCAAACCCUAUCUUUCCCAUUCUUCUUCUUGACAACGACAGUGUUUGCUACCCACUCCGGGUAUUGCACUUCUCUUAUGGACCCUAUCUUCAAAAGUUUAUCCACUUCGUCAUUUACUAUUUUUGCUCGCUCUACUCCAAGCUUUCUUCUUUUUUGUUUCACCGGUUUGAAGCUCGGAUCCACGUUUAGUUCAUGACAAAUUAUACUUGGAUUUAUGCCAGGCAUGUCCGCCGCUGACCACGCAAACGAUGUUUUGUUUUUCCUCAAGAGUUCGAUCAAAGCUUCUUUUAGUUGGCCAGUCAAAGUUGCCCCAAUUCGAAUUUUCCGGUCCGGUUUGUCUUCUUCCAACACCACUUCGAUUACUACAUCAUCUUUUUUCUGCCCGCUAAGAAAUUUUGUUCUUAGUCCCUCUUUUGCGGACUUCGUUAAUUGCUAUUGAAUCUUCAUACGGUGGCUAGCUAGAUAACACGUCUAUGAAGCUUCUUGAUCUCCCCGAAUUGUUUCCACUCCUCUUGAUUUGGAAAUUUGAUACAUUGAUGAUAUGUAGAGGGGACUGCUUUCAUUUGAUAAAUCCAGGGAGUCCCGAGGAUGAUGUUGUAAGCUGCGGGCUUAUCGAAGACAACGAAGUCCACGAUCUUUGAUACCUUUUUGGAAAGGAGACGGAGGCCCUACUAUGUCCGCCUGACUAAUUCCCAUUCUUUCUAAAGUACUUAAAAAGAUCAAAUCGACCGAACUGCCUAUAUCUAUAAGGAUCCUUGAUACUUCGAAGUUGGCAACGUCAAGGGUAAUGACUAGAGCAUCAUCAUGAGGUCUUUCGAGGUGCCGCGUUUCUUCUUCAUUAAACGAUAUUGAUGCACCUUGAAAAUCGACUUCUUCGCUCAAGCUUGCUUUGAGUAGGACAUUUCGUCUAUGUUUCUUGAUGGAACUUAUCGAAUCUCGACAAAAUUUGGAACCUCCUAGAAUAACAUUGAUCUUACCCUUAGAAUUCCUCGGUUCUUCCUCGUUGGUUAACCUUGGUCUUUUGGAAUUUUGAUCUUUGGAAUUUUCCUUUGCUUCGUGGUAUUCCUUCACAAAAUCUUUUAUAUCGAAUUUGGAAAGAUCUCCACUGGCCCAAAGCUCUGCGAGGUGCCUUUUAAGAACGCUACAAUCCUUGGUUAAAUGUCCGGUUACUUUAUGAAUGUCGCAAUAUAGACUUUCAUCAUGGACCCAAGUGUUUGAUCUUCCUUUCCCUUGGAAUUGCUUUCCGACGGUACUGUUGAAGGGUUGCAACCCAAAUUUCUUUGGUCCUUUAUUCUCCCUAGGUUCGAACUUCUUGGUAGGGACGGUGAUUGCCGGCUUUUCUUGCUUAUUUCUUUUGGCAAAAUUUUAUUUUUUGUCCUCUACCUCCAUCCAGUUGUUUGCGCGGAAGAGCGCAUCCUGAAUUGUGUCUGGUUUAUGAAGUAUUAAAUCUUCUUUAAACCUUGAAUCAUGUCGCAAUCCCUUUCGUAGGGCGGAUAAAGCCGAUUGUUGUGAGAUUCUUGGGAGUUUUGACAGCACUCCUUUGAAUUUGGUGAUGAAAACUCGAAGUGACUCAUUUGAUCCUUGUGAUAGGUUCCAAAGAUCGGCAUCCGAAACGCUUUUAUCCAUAAGGAUGGAAUAUUGCUUUAAGAACACAGCUGAUAGCUCGUCAAAAUUGCUGAUCGAACCCGGCUCUAAUUGGGUGAACCACAUUAGAGCUUGGCCGCAUAGAUUUUCUGAAAAGAGCUUACAGUAACCUGCAUCCUCGUCAGCUUCAUCCAAUUCGACUCUUCCAGCUGCGAUCAGAAAAGCUGCGAGAUAGCUCUUUGGAUCCUCCAAUCCGCUGUAAGGGUCCAACUUGAGCUUCCGGGAAUCUUUGAUUCUCAAACUCGCAAUUCGCGAGAUGAAAGGUGUUCGCCUAGCUUCUUCAAUGACUCGAUUGAUGUCUAGCUCCGAACUUGUAGCUUGAUGGAACUUUGACUUCAUUUCUUUUAGUUCCUGGCUAACCUUCCUCAUAGUCUCGAACUGGUCGAGGUUUUCCUGCUCGUAUUGAUCUGCAAGUUGAGCUUCAUCUUCGAGUUGUGCCUCUCCAUCCAAUGGCUGAACUAUAUUAUUAGUAGCUCCAGGAGUUGUUUGUCCGCUGGUUUUGUUUCGCGCAACGGAACUUGGCGAGUUGAAUAUCCUCCUUCGGAUUCCCACAGGAUUUCCUGCACUUAAAGAGCGAACACGAGUUUGUAUAGUAUUGACGUUUUGGCUAAGAGAUACCUGGGAUGUUUGCAACGUAUCGACGGCCUUUUCCACAUCCGAGAACUUUUGUGAUAUGUCCGACAUGGUUUGCUGCAUAGCUCUGAGGGUUUCGGCCAAUGAUGUCUCAACGGCGUCUCCUCCGUGCUGCUUAUCUCGGAAAUGUAGUAAAGAAAAAAUCUGACCACUCAAGAAUACUCUAUCCCCACAGACGGCGCCAAAAUGUGGAUGUCGGAUUUGCACACUCAAGUAUUUUUAUUAAGUAGGAAAGAUUACUCUUGAGGGACAAAAAUAAAUAUGUAAAAGGCUUAUGAAUUGUUACAAAAAUUGCUAUAGUAUUUCUUGCUCGAAAGAACGAUCCCCAUACAUGGCCAUUGGCCUUCUUAUUUAUACAUAGAAAAACGACAUUUAAGUGGCUAAUUAAGUAUAAUUAUUCUCUCUUAAAUGUGUCUGUUUUGAUCUUUGCUUUUAAUGCUUAACGUUUGAAUUUGAGUUGAUUCUGAUCUUCAUGGGCCUCGCCUUUUGGCCCAAAUGUCCUUGGACUGACUUAACCAUGACUUCGUCUCCGGCCUCGUGUCGAGGUGUAGUCACUUCGGAUUCUCUUUACGGUGAUAACCACUUCGACUGUUCUUUUGACUUGUGGGUAUAAUUGCUUUAUCCUUUAUGGGCCGUUAUCCUGACUACGUGGCAAUCUUUGGUUGGUCCUGGACCUCUGGUGCGGGAUCCGACACCAACAAGGGGGAGAGAUCUUCAUGGGUGAUAAACAUUUUGGCUCGAGAGGAUUUAACCUUAGUGGAUUCUAGAUCCAAAUUUUGUAGAUCACAAGAUUUUUGGUGCUUCUGUUUGGAUGUUGCGGACAUAAUCUGAGGGAGGGAGUUCACCGGAUUCACCCUCCUUCCUUUGAAUAUCAGUGAUGCGUAGCCGCCGUUUUGGGUUGAGAUCGAGAGGUUUCGAGAGAUUUGCAAAAAGAGAAAAUAAAAGGGGGAACAAAUUAAACAAAAGGAGACAAAGAGAUGAGAUCUAAAGUAAAGAAAUUUCAGGGAGGUGAAAUCCCGACGCCGGCGAGCAAGAGCUCCACCGGCGUCGAAAAGCUUGAGCAACUUGACCUCCUCGAUAGUCGUGUCUGAGAGAGUUCACGGGUUAGUACAAUUUUUUUUUUUUUAUAAGUAUACAAAUGUUAAUAAUGCUCUAUAUAUUUGUUUACAUAUAUACAAAUAUUAAUAACUCUCUAUACAUGUGUUUACAUAUUAAUAAUGUUUAAUGUACAUGUUUACAUCUAUACAAAUAUUAAUAUCGUUCUCUAUAUAUCUAUUUACAUGUAUACAUAGAUGAUAGAUCCAAUAAGUUAAUGCUAUAAUUAUAUUUAACGUUUUAUAUAUGUAUAUUUUUUUGCAUGACUAUUUAUUGGGUAUCUAUUCCAUUAGGUUAGUGGUUUAAAAUUUUAAAUACCCGCCUAAAAGUUUGCGUUAUAGAUUCAAAAUUAAGAGAUUCGAAGACAGUCCGUCAGUUUGCAUUUAAUACAAGUUCCCUCCUUUCUAUCGUCGAGUAAAUGUCACUUCUACAACAGAGCAUUUAAUAACUGUCAUUUCAUUUUUUUUUCUUCCCCAAAUGUCAAUGGCGCUAUCACACGCGCAUGACUCCGUAACCAACUGGUUUUAUUGUAAUUUUUUUGAAGUUGAGGGCCAUUAAUAACGUUUAAUUUUUGUUUGUCUCGAACAAAGUGACCUAUUACCGAUUAUCUAAUUAGAAGUCACAUUUUUACCUCUGCGCAAAUUCACUCUAAAGAAAAAACAUUGUCAUCACCUAUUAGUAACAAAAGUUUCAUGCUCACGUGUCGUUCGAAGAGAGAUUCUUAGCCAUUUAAAUAAUUGCUUAAACUUUAUAUAUUUACAAAUUUUGCCAUUAGUGUUAUAGUAUAUACAUAUUUUACACAAAUAAAAAAAAAGAAGUUUAAAUUAAAUAAAGCAUAUUAUGAACUAAUAAACUAUUCACAAAAAUUUAUAUGAUUCUUUGUUAUUUAAGUUAGAAAAUAUUUUAUCGUUUUCAAUCAUUGUACGGGUAAAACAAAUUUAAAUACGAAAAAUCGAUGAUUGGAAUGGUAUAAAAAAUUUAUUAGAUGUUUUUUAAAAUAAUUUAGAUAUUAGAUAAUAACAAUACGGGAAAAUAUCAUUUAGAUAAUCAGUUUACCAUUUUCGUUGGUUUAAAAUAUGAACUCUGGACCUGGUGAUUUAAAUCUUCAAUUUUAUGUGGAUCUGGUGUUUUAAAUCCUCAAUUUUAUGUUGAUUUUCAAUUUAAUCACGAAUUCUCGUUGACUAAGCCAAUUGAGGCACAUUGUUAACUGGCUAAAUGUCAUCGCAUAUUUUUUGAAGAGGAAGACGGAAACCCUGUUGGUGUAGAAGAAAAAUUAAUGGAUGGCUUCGAAGUGAUAGUUAUGCGAUGACAUCUUCUUAUUGAUAUGUUUAGCCGGUUAACGAUAUGUCAAUUGGCUUUGUCAACGAGAAUUCAUGAUUAAAAUGAAAAUCAACAUAAAAUUAGGAUUUAAAUACCAGAUCUAAAAUUCAUGCUUUAGACCAACGAAAAUGGUAAACUGAUGAUUUAAAUGACAUUUUUCCCGAUAAUAAUACCAAUCAUUUUGUAAAUAGAAGUACAAUUUAACAAUCAUAUCGGUAAACUAUCUAGUUAAUUAUGCUCAUAUUUUGUUACGUUUUUCACUUAACAUAUCUAAGUAAUAUUAAAUAACUCAUAAACUUAACUUUAUGUAACUCAAUUUUCAUAUUCUGCUAGAUUAUUUUAGUACUGUUAACCAUGCAUCUUUGACUCCUUCUUUGUAAAAUAUCUUUGCAAGAUUCCAAAUUUUCCAGUGUCCCACAUACAUCCAUUUGCGUCUGUCAUUGAGCUUAAUGUAACUCACAUUCACAUUAUCACGGGUCAUAAAAACCCGAACACGAACUUCUAUUGGUAUGAAUGUUAAAACUGAUGAUAACAAAAUAAAACAAAUAACAUUUUCUUUAAAUUCAUACUACGCAAUUCUAGGUAAUAUAUAACGUUCAUACAAAGUUUUUGAGAAUUUACUAAUUACCUAAUGCCCUGAUCGAGUUCAACCUGAGAAGCUAUAAUUUUGGCUCGUUAUGAAUGAGAAACUGAAAAGAAAAAAAAAAGUUGAUUUACGAGUUCAGGAUAUUCGAGUCGAGAUAUUUACGCGUCUCGGGCUCGCGGCUAGAAAAUCUAGUAAUUCACUAUCAAGAAUAUACAACAUGCGUAGCUCUACUCUAAAGUCGUGAACUCGUGAUGAUGGAGUUUCAAAACAGAGUUACAAGCUCUUAUAAUAUCAAACCCUUCAUCCGAAUAAGAGACUCUCUCUUAAACCUUGAUACCGAAUUAACCAGUCUCUAUUUUCAUGGUUAUGUUUUAAUGAGCUAAACCGAAUAAACCUGAGUUCUAAACGAAUCACUUCUUCAACAGUACCGCUCAUUCAUGGAUAAAAUAGAUUCUUAAAAAGUCGAACAACGCAUCAAAACAUUCGGUCAAGAAUUGAUUUCGGUUCGAACUUUUCGCUACAAAAACAUUCGAUCAAGGCCUCUUAGACAUGGGCGUCCAUAUUCUCUUCCAAGAUCUCUCAUUCAUAGGAAUAUAGGAUCAUGAUUUAUUGAAAGCACAUAAACAUCAUUGUAUAGAUAUGAUCAAUCAAACCACAUUUCUCCCGGUCAAACAAGAAGAAAACUUUGAUGUCAAUAACUGAGCUGUUCAUUCUCUUACUCAAAAGCUGACGAUAACACACACACAUAUAUAUAUAUAUAUAUAUAUAUAUAUAUAUAUCUUUAGUUGAGAAUGUCUACUCAUAACUUAGUGUUUUAAAUACAGUUUUAGGAUUAUUGAAAAUCAUGUUUUAAAUGAAAAAUUCAAACUAAGCUCGAAAUAUGUAAUAGUUAGGUGAAUAUCACAAUGAUCAAUAGUUUUUAGUAGAAAUGAACUAUUUAGUAAAUAAAAUUAGCAUUCUACAGCAUGAAAAUUUAAAUAUAAAGAUUUUAAUUAUAAUCUUAAUGCAAGAAUUUCGAAAUAAGACAUUGGGUACAAAAUCUCUUUUAUUAAACGGGGAACGUUGAAAAUAGAAAUAGAUUGCUACAAAGCAUACAUUUGAGAGGAAAAAAAAAAACUAUGAAAGUCUCACACAUUUAUUAUUUCACUUUAACAAAUUCAAAUUUAAACAAAAACUCUAGCUUACAUGCAUUUAUUCAAAUUGUAAUUGUUUUGAGGGGGAAACUGUGCAUCACAUCGUAUGCAUAGCUGUUGAUAUCGUUCAAGCACAUUGGAAACCAGACGGAAGCUUUCUGUUACAAACGUUGAGAAGAACGCUGAGAGAUAUUGGAACGUUAAGGUUGAUGCCGAGAACGUUAGCCCUCAGAGCAGUGCAGAGACAAACCGCAGCGUCGACGUCAACCAAACCUUGGAUGAGCGAGCAACAUGGUUGAGCUGAUGGCUGACCCAAUUGUAUGUUGAGUAGACUGCUUAGAACGUUUGCACAUACACCAAGCUUGAGAGCAUCGAUAGGACAGUUUCCAGAUGAACCAGUGCUGGGAGGCGUGACGGGCCUAGGGUUAGGAUUUGGGACCGAAGGACUUGGGACUGAAGGACUUGGGACCGGCUUGGGUUUAGGACUUGGGACUGGCUUGGGCUUAGGACUAGGGACCGGUUUGUGCUUAGGACUCUGGUUGCAACCACAAUCAGUUGCAGCAGUUAAGGUGAAGAAUAGGAUGUUGAGGGCGAAGAAAAGAGCAAUAGAGGCUGAGUUCUUUGAAGCCAUUUUUUUCUUUUGAAAAGAUAGGUUCGGUGUUUAAGGAUUAUUGAGUGUGUUUGAGAGAGAGUGAUGAAUAAAAAUGAAGAGAGGGUGUGGGAAUUUAUAGGGUAUUAGAAGGAUGUGAAGAGGACCAACUUGUUCUAGUAUAAUUGAUUAUUUACAGAUAUUUGUACGUAAUUCUACAAAAUAUCUGUUUUUAUUUUUUUUAUUUGUGCGUAUCUACAUAUACAAAUUCUGACCUUUUUAUUUUCUUUUAUGUAGAUUCGUAGAACCUUAGAAAUUAUUUAUUAAAUCCUUUUCACGAAACUAUUAUAAUUAAGGGGAUGUGCCUUUAAUCAAGUGGUUAACUCCAUUUGACUCUGCCUUCCCCACCGGAGUUCGACUCCUCUAAGUCGCGUUAUCCCGCGUAGUAGGGAUUGGCUAUGGAUCGUCAUUGUCGAUCCAAAGAUGUCAAAAAAAAAAAAAACUAUUGUAAUUAAGAAAAUAUAUGAUUCGUGCAUUCAUAUUAGUAUUAUUCUCAAAUUAUCAAUGCGUUAUAAUCACCGCCAUCAUGAUGAAUUCAUGACCUCAUUGCACAUAUUUUCAAAUUCUUUUUGGCUCGUAACCAUUUUUACUUGAGAGUUUCUAUAUGUUAGUCUAGUAGUUUUAGUACAUUCCAGAGGAACUUGUGCUCCGCAUCCUUUUCGGAAUCUUGCUUGGAAUGAAUGUAUUUAUCACAAACUGGUCCUAGAAGAGGGAGAUAUCAUCGGAAAUUCCCGAACUUCCUCGGAUUUAUUUUUUCAGAAUGUGAAUGUUUUCGAAUUUUUAGAUCCUCUUAUGCAUAAAAUAGGAGGACACCAAAACCCUGGAUGAAUCGAGUUGUUCUAUAUGGUUGUGUCAUUGGUGACGUAAAGGAAAAACAUAAAUACAAAUUGGACCUCAUAUGGAUUAUGACUAAUCCCAAUUGGCAAGAGAAUUUAGACAUGACUGGCUUUUAAGGGUGUAUAAACACCUCAAUUUUUUCUUCUAUAUGCAUAAGGUUAGACCGAUUUGUAUUGUUUUACAUUCUUGCAUUUGAGAUUUGAAAUUACGGAAUUUUGAUGAAGAAGGGGUUCGCGGUUGGCUAAAAACAACCCGUGAUGACAUCCACGCGAAUAGAGUGAUCGAGCACUUUUCUUGGACAAUCACAUUAAUUAGAAUUGAAUUUUUUAGAUUAUACAUUUAAUAGGGUAAGGUUUAGUCGAUAGUUAGAUUAGAAUCCUAAUUUAAUAAACCCAAUAUUAUUUAGUCUAUACGCUAUUUUCUAUGGAGAAAUACAACUAACUUUGAGAAAAUAUGUUCACAUAUAAAAACAAAGGAAUCUAAAUUAUGGGUAUAACCCAAACAUGAAACUAAGAUGUGAACUAACUUAAGAGUAACGCAAAAUCAUUUGAUUUUCCGGAAAAGGCUGGUUAGAAUGCUUUUUAAAGUCAAUAAUAACUUUUGUCCCAAAAGAAAAUAUCAUCUUUUUUCAGCAAUGCUAGGACAAAAAUAAAUAAAAGUCAAUUAUAAUAACAUUUGGAACUUCUUAAAAUUAAACACAGUGAUACACGAAUAUAUAAUAUGGUUUGACUGUGCAUAUAUCUAUUAUAUACUUUGAAACAGAGUAUUAUUCUUCAUGUUUAAACGCCAAUUACAUUUAAACUGAUAUUUCAAGGGCAGCAUAUUCAUAUCAUAAUUAUUAAUAUGUGGAUUAUAAAUUGAACUUCGUAUUAAGAAUAAAAACUAUGUAUCAAUUUUUUCUUACGAAGAUUUUAUUUUGUAACCGCAAUAAUAUUUUAAAUAUAUAUGCUGUAUUCUAAUAUAAACAAAUACCGAAAUUAUUUUGUAGUUAUCGUUCUUUUGAAUUGCUCUGUCCAACUAGAAAAACAUCUCCAAAUUAAAAAAAUUAUUUUACUGCUACAAAACAUUACUACAUUGAUAUAUAAAUGCAACAUACUAUUAUAUGCUGAUAUUGUAGUAUCUUUUAUCAAGUUAAAAGUUUGAUUAUCAAAGGCUAAACAAAGCAUCGGUACGUUCAACUACACUAGAAUUUUGGUGAAGUAUCAAAUUAUAUUUUGAUACUUUAAGCUUGACUUCAUAUUGAUUUUUUUUUGUCGAAAGACUUCAUAUUGAUUGGAAAGUAAAAUUUAAAGGAAAUACUUGUAAAUAUAUUUGUAAGAUGGAUCUCCUCCUUUCUCACUCUUGUAAAUAUUGAUUGUAAAUAUAAUUGUAUUUUAAUACAGUUGAAAAAUACUUAAUCAUAUAUUUGUAAGCUCGGGAUUAAGAUUUGUUUGUAUUGAACCUCAUUUUUCAAAAAAAGACUAAACUCAUGCGGAAUAUUCGAAUCCAAAAAUAGAAGUAAAAAAAUAUUUGAAUACAUAAGACAUUGACUAUGAAACGUCGUUCAUUUAAUUUAACUGUAUUAAACAAAACACAAACUUACAACAAAAACAGAAAAGCGUUUACAAAGAAGUAUAUAAAUAACGUCUCUCACUUAAACAAAAGAUUGAAACAUUAAACCUUAAACUUGCAUACAUGCAUGUAAUUAUUAAUAUUGUAAUUAUUUUGAAGAGGAAAAUGUGUGUGCACGUCCUAUGCAUAAUCGAUACCGCUCAAGCACAUUGAAAACCAGACGGAAGCCUUCUGUUACAAACGUUGAGAAGAACGCUGAGAGAUAUGGGAACGUUAAGGUUGAUGCCAAGAACGUUAGCCCUAAGAGCAGUGCAGAGACAAAUCGCAGCGUCGAGGUCAACCAAACCUUGGAUGAGAGAGCAGCAUGGCUGAGCUGAUGGCUGUCCCAACUGCACGUUAAGUAGACCGCUUAGGACAUUCGCACAUACACCGAGUCUGAGAGCAUCGAUGGGACAGUUUCUCGAUGAGCCAGGGGUGCUCGGAGGUGUGACGGGAGUUGGUACGGAAGGAUUUGGGACCGAAGGAGUUGGGACCGAAGGAGUUGGAACCGAAGGACUUGGGACGGAAGGAGUUGGAACCGAAGGAAUUGGGACGGAAGGAGUUGGAACUGAAGGACUUGGGACCGGCCUAGGCUUAGGACUUGGGAUCGGCUUGUGCUUAGGACUUGGGUUGCAUCUACAAUCAGUAGCAGCGGUUAAGGUGAAAAAAAGGAUGUUGAGGGCAAAGAAAAGAGCAAGAGAGGCUGAGUUCUUUGAAGCCAUUGUUAUUGAGUGUGUUUGAGAGAGAGAUGAAAUAAAAUGAAGAGAGGGUGUGGGUAUUUAUAGGAUUUUAGAAGGAUGUGAAGAUCAUUUAAACUAGUUUGAAAAAUACAAUUAGUUUUAAGUAUAUAAUAAAAAUAUAUAAUUUUUGUUUUGAUAUAAAAUGAAAACAUAUAAAAUUAUUUAUAUAUAUACGAUAAAAGAUAAAAUUUGAGGAUCACAUUAUGAACAAAAAAUUUGAGUAGAAAAUGGAGUACCAUUGAAAUAGUCUCAAAACCGGUCGUAAUUAACAACCCAAUAAUUACAAAUCCUGGUUGAAUUUUAAAUUGCUAGCUAUACACAGUGUUCACUCGAUCGAUAGUUAGAUUAGUUUCCUACUUUGAUAAACUGAUACUUAAAACCAAACUGAUUAUACGUAGUUAGCUGUUCGAUCAUAAAUAUAACUAACUUUGAGAAAAUAUGUCAUGGGGAACUAAGAUGUGAACAUACUCAUCAAAAUUUAGUGUAACGCAAAAUCAUUUGAUUUUCCGGAAAAUUAAACGCUGGUUCAGUGUAUCUUAAAGUCAAUAGUAAUAUUUUGUCCUGAAAGAAAAUCUCAUCUUUUUUAGCAAUGCUAGGACAAAAAGAAAAAAAGAUAGACCAAUAUUUGCACUGCAAAAACAUAAUUGUUUCAGCAAUGCGAAGACCAAACAAAAUAAGUCAAUUAAGACAAUAACAUUUGGAUUCUUUAAAAGAGAUGAAGAACAAGAAAAACUAACACGGUGAUAUGGACACAUUAAUACUUUAAUAUAAAUGGAAAAAGUCAUACAAAAAUAAUAAUAAGGUUUAACUAGGUAGCUAUUAUCUUUCCACCACGGUCAUACGUGACAUCGUCGAAAUUUUGAGUUAGUCGUAUAUUCAUUUCAUAACUAUUAGAUAUUGGAUUGGAGGUAUAUUACUAUAGUAUUCGAUGUAUCACACUUUUUAAUCAUGUUUGUUUAUGGUAUCCCGAUACUGAAUGUAAAUUUAGAGUUAAGGUUUAAUAUUCAAAUGUUCGUAUUAAAAAUAAAGUUGUAAAUUAAAAAAUAGUUAAUAAAUUUCAAAGUAGAAAAAAGCCUAAAACCAAAUGAAAAAAAAAAAGCCUUUGAGCGGCUUCUCUCACAGAACUUGAAAAUUCUAGCCGCCGACUAAAUUUUUUACUAGUUUUUCUUUUCGGCUUGUGCGUGUAUCACUUACGGUUCUUCGUUUCGUGGUUAGUGUCUCUUUCCGGUGGCGAUAAAAGUGACUAGAGUUUGCAAUACGGAGAUGCGAGAGUGAGUCACGACGGCAACAUUUGUUCCUCGGCUUGUUGAGUCACUUUGGGAGUUUUUGGUCUUUCCAAAUUUGUGAGGACUGGAUCGGGGGCUUGUGUCACCACAUAUGUAAAUUUACUUCUGUACAUAGAACUUUUUUUUUUUUUUGGUUUAAUUUUUAUACAUAGAACUUAGUGUAGCUAACAUUUACAUUAUCACGAAUCAUAUACAUUCCGAACAUAUAUUACCCUCCAUUCGUAUGCAUAUUAAUUAAAAAGAAUUAGAAAUAGACGUCCAAACAUAUUUCAUUAAACAGGUUGAAAAUUGAUAAAUAAAUUGCUACAAAAGUAUUCGAUAUUUUGUUGAGUUUUUAAAUACUUUAACUGGUUAAGAUCUAUAUAUAAUAAUAUUUGAGAAGUGUUUUUGCUGACGUGUCGGACUCUCGGCUCUUGUUGAGUCAUUGAUUUUACGUAAUUACUUAAUUAUCCUUAAUGAAAUCUAAUUAAUUUUGGAAAAAUUAAAUUGAAUUUCGGAAUUAACCAGGAAAAAAUAAUUUUUGAAACAAUAAACAUGAUAAUUAACCAAAAAAAAAAAAAGGAACAACGAAGUACGAGUUAGGAAGCUUUAAUUGAAUUCAUCGUGUUCUUCGUCGUGUGAAUAUAAUUCUUCUAAACGAAGGCAAAACUUGAAAUCCUAACAUAAAGCAUAUAUUCAUAGCAAUAACAGAGAUCUAAUAAUUUAGUGAUAGAAUUUCACCUGUUGAUCUGUCGAAGCAGAAUAGUCAAGCUUCUCAUAGUAUCUUGCCCAUGUUAUGUCUUUAAGACGUCAAUACUAUCCUGCACCCUAUAAUUCUAACCAAUGAAAAGAACAAAUAUUUAUUACCUUGGAUACAGAGUUGACGAAGAAACCUUGGAUAAAAACUCGACGAAGAAACUUGUAAGUGUUAAUGUAUGAUGAAGCUUCCAUGAACGUGAAGUCGUGAUCAUAAUGAAGAAACGUGUGAAUGGAGACGGUUGAUGGUUUUUUUUUUUUUUUUUUUUUUUUUUUACCUUUUGUGUAAACAGAUCUGUUUCAUAAUUUAUCGGAAAAGGAAUUAUACCAAAAAAAAAAAAUCGGAAAAGGAAAAUAUUUAUUAUAAUAUUGAUAUAUUUAAGAUGAUAAUGUCAAAUAUCCGAAAAUUAUUAAUCGGAGCAUUAAUAUAAACAUAAAAGAAUACUAUUCUAACCUUACUCAAAUUAAUAAGAUUUAGAUAUCCGAAAUUAAUCGUAAACGGCUAUUAAUUGUUAAACUAAUUAAAAUAAAGAUCAAACGUACCGGAAUAGAUGAAAUUUUUGGUAUGAUCGUCGUGUUCGUCGUCGUCGUUUCAAUCUAAAUAUUUGGAAAAAAAAACGAACAAAAAAAAUAAUAUGUAGAUCAAUGAAAGAGAACCCACCAAUUUAGAAACGGUUAUCACGCCAUCGUAUUGUUCGUCGGAUGAUUAUAAGUCUCUAAUCCGGAGAUUGACUUGAACCCUGACAAAAACAUAUAUUCAUAGCAUAAAAUCGUAAAUAGAAGGUAGAAGACCACCUAUUAAUCGGUUGUAACCUUGUGCAAACUCGAUUUAAUUUUGACGAAUGAAAUGUUGGUGUGGUGUCAAAACUUUCUUGGGGAGACUCGAAGAUGAGAGAACUGAAGUCAGAGAUAGGCAGAGAGGUUUACAUGUGAAUUAAGGUAUGGAGUGCUAACGUGAACAUGAACGUGAACGGUGGUGAUUUUUGCACAUAAUAGCAAUUAGAUCGAGUUUUGGAAAAAAAUAUGGAUCAGCGUGACAUGACGCAUAUGGAUACCAUGCAUGUCUAUCUAUUGUAAAUCAAAAAUUAUAUUAUUGUUCCGCCUUAUUUUUGAAACAGAAAGGAAUUUUCCUUAAAUUUUAAUAUAUUUUAUAAGAUAGUAUCAGAUAUAGUAGUAAAUCUAAAAUAGUUGUUAUUAUUCUAUAUUUUUACCGAAAAAAGUAAAUAUUAUUUUAAAUAAACAUGGAUAACAAUGAAUAAAUGGCAGUUUUACAAAUAUUUAUUAUUAUGAUAGUGAUUUGCUUAUUAAAAUAUGUAAAUUUUCUUUUCUUUUUUUGUAUUUAUCGUCGAAAAAUUUAGAAACUCUAAAUCAUGCACCGCCUCCUAUUCAAUAUAAAUACCUUGCUCAUGGUAUUCAAUUUCAGAUCAUAACUAACCUUUGUUUUUUUGUUCUUUUUUUUCAAACUUUUUUUUGCUUCUACCUAAUUUUAAUUUUUCUUUUUAUUGUAGGGUGGAUGUAUGGAGGGGACGAUGUGAACUGGUGUAUGGAAAAUUUGGACCUAAUUCAAUGAAUAAACAGGUGAUCUUAUAGUUUAUAUGUACAAAUUUGAUUUUUUUUUUUUUGUAUUUAUGGUUUCACUAUUUUCACCACUAAUCAAUUUUUAUAAUCAAAAAGUUUGGUUUCAACUUUUGAGAAGGUAAUCAUCGAUGGUUUGGUAUGUUUCUUUUUGUUGUAAAAAGAUGAGGUACCUCCCGAUUUUGUUGAGGUACAUGUUCUUAUUAUUUUCAAAUAUGUCUUUUCUCAGAAGAAACACUCAACUUUUGAUAACACAGUUGUCACAAAGUCAGAAAGAUGACUUAUUUCAGGGAUGAAUCUUCAGAGGAGGCUAAUUUUUGUCGUUAAUACAAUUUAAGUAUUCCUCUCUUUAGAUUAGGGAUAACAAACUUGGCUGUUAAAUUCAGGAAUUACUCUUCGUUGCCAAUCUCUCUCCCCAAACUAAUAUAUUACAUAUAUGGAAGUAGUAACUUAAAGUUUUUGGUAUCGAGGUCAUUCUAAGGCACUGAGAUUCGGACUUUGGUAUGUAUAGGAUUCGUUUUCCAUGCACUAAGAUUUAAUUAUUGUUUAAUUUAUUGGUUUUUAGGUUUCUUUCCAUGCUCUGAUGCGUUUUCGGGUGUGCCAAUGGAAGCUUGCAUCACUUUUUACUCCAAGCGUAAGUAUGCUCUGCAUUAGCUUCUUCUGUUCCAUUGGUUAUUAUAGGUUUUGACUUUUGAGAAAUAUACAACAAUUUAAAACCAGGUUUUGUUGUUGAUUGGUUCGGUUUGUAUACCAUAUUUUGCUAAAUACAUAUGACCAUAAAUAAGACCAAAGGAGCUGGGUUAGCUCCUUUGCCAGCUAGGUUGACUUCGUCUCCUCCCCGUCUUGCGGAUUUCCGUUAUUCAACGGGUAUAUUUGAGAAGUAUACGGUACUAAAACCACAACCAUUGAUCUUAGCUUGAUCGGUUCUUCCCUAGGAUUUAUACAUAAAAGUAAAUUGUUUUGUUUAAUAAUUUUCCAUUGCAUGAACUUUCGAGACAACAAGUGGACAGGAGUGUAAUGUCAUCAAAAGUCAAAUCAAACACUGUGAGGAACAUAUUAGACAACGUUGGCUUCUUUCGCAGUUGCUCAACGUUGUCUCUCCCGAUGGUCCCAACACUCUUGGGACACUGUGGGCCACUCUACUUAUUCGAAGACGNNNNNNNNNNNNNNNNNNNNNNNNNNNNNNNNNNNNNNNNNNNNNNNNNNNNNNNNNNNNNNNNNNNNNNNNNNNNNNNNNNNNNNNNNNNNNNNNNNNNAAUUUUACAAGCUAUUUUAUAAGGUUUUACAAGUUUUUUAUAAGGUUUUACAAGUUAUAAAUACCUUAUAAAACCUUAUAAGUACCUUGUAAAACCUUUUAAAAUACAUUGUAAAACCUUACAAAACACUUGUAAAUACUCCGUAAAACCUUUAAAAUACCUUGUAAAUUUUUCCCGCCAAAAAUUUUCCCGCCAAAAAAAUUUCGGCAAAAAAAUUGCGGAAUCACUUUUCCCGCAAAAAAAAAUUUUUGGCGGGAAAAUUUUUUGGCGGGAAAAAUUUUUACGGAAAAAUUUUACAAGGUAUUUUAAAGGUUUUUACAAGUGUUUUGGCGGGAAAAUUGCGGGAUCACUUUUCCCGCCAAAAAAUAUUUUGUAUUUUGUGGACCUAAUUUUGUUUCAAAUAAGGGUAAAAUGGUCAUUAAAAAUUAAAAGAGGACAAACUUAAAAAUGGACUCUCAAAAGGGGCAUUUUUGAAAAGGGGUAUUGAAAAAGGGGCAUUUUUAACAAUUUCUCUAAAAAAAAUUAUUUUCUUAAUUUGUUUUAUUUUGUUUAAUUUUAAGUUGAAUUUCUUAUUUCUAUUUAAAUGUAAUCUUACAUGGCACAAUUUCAUUGGCUAAAUUUAGAGGAGGUGAAUGAAGAGGUUCACCCCUAGGAGUGAACCCAAGAAUUGUUUUUUAAGUAACCAUUGUCUUUCCUAUUAUUGAGUUGCUUAUUAUUUCCAGUUUUGCGUAAUUUGGAAAUAUAUAUUUAACUGAUUACAUAAGCUUGGAUUUGGUUUGGCCGGUUCUAAUUCCACAUUGGGUUUUAGUUUUGUUUAUGAUUUAGCAAUUAUCAAAGUACGAUCUUUACCCAAUCUUGCUUUUUUGUUGUGUAAGAGAAUUUCAAAGCAAUUAAUUUGCAAGGUUUAUAAAUAUGAAUAAUAAUAAUAGGGUUACAAUAUCAUGAAAUCUAAAUGAAAAUAAAUAAAAACAGAAUUAGCGAAGCAACUAUAUUGAUGAGCUACGUAAUAACCUAAAUAAAUAAUUGAUAAUAUAUUAACAAUAAGAAAUAAUUGAUACAUGAUAAAAGUUAAGCAUCAGAACUGGAGACUGGAGGGUGCAAUCCGUGUUAGUCUUCUGUGAAACAGUCACAUAUAGCUACCAAGAUUAGUAUGAGAAGCAAACUCACGGUAACAAUUGUUCCGAUGAAUUCAAUUGGACUAACAACCAUAUUGUUUCUUCAACACACCAAAACUUGUCUUCUCUAACUUUUUUUUGUGUCUUCUUUUUUUUUAGCAAGGAUAUUUUGUAUAAGAUGAGUAAUAUAUUAAUAGAGUAUAUAUACAUGUUCUAAUUGCCUUAUAUCCACAACUUGGCGAUCAAAAUUAACAUAACGAAAAAGUUAACAUAACAAAAUCGAAAAACAAAGAGAAAGAAUUAAGUUAACAUUAAAAAAAAGGAAAUUUAAGUGAGUGGGGUAGUUUUUAAGUUUAUAUGUAAGAGAUUGGGUAGUUUAGAUUAGGGUUUAGGAAAAGGGUGGUUUCUACUGUUGGGUGUUCGAUUAUAUCCCUGACCAACUCGAUUAUUUAGGAAAAGGUUGACUGGUCAUGAGUAUAAUAUUUCCAGUUUUAGGUAAAUUAUUUUAUUUAUUUGUUCAAAAAAAAAAGUUAAAUUAUUUUAUUUCGUUUUUCUUUAAUUAAAAAUACGAAAAGUGUACAAAAACAAAAAGAUGUAAAUUGAACCCAAUGCUCAUUGGCUAUUUAAACGGGGUAAAACCAGAUUUUUGUUUUUAAGGUUUUUUGGUUUUUGAUUUUAGUUUCGUUUUUUUUUUUUUUUUUAAUUAUUAGACGUUUUUUCAAUUUUCUAUUUUAAUUUUUAGUUUCUGUUUUGUUUUUAAAAUUUAUUAAAUCAAUUAUAAUUAAAAAGUUAAAAAAAUUACAAAUGCUCAAAAAAUAUGUCACGUAAAUUUGUUGGAGGAAACCCAGAGAAUUUAGUUUUUGGAUUAUGUGAACAAAUUACCAAAAUCUAUUAAAUUUCAUAUUCCUUAUUUUUAAAAUUUACUUUUGUCAUCCUCGUUAAUGGCAGUAAAUUAGUUUUUGUAAAAUCAAAAAUUCAAAACAACUUCAAAAUCUGCAGGCAUUCAAAACAACUUCAAAAUUUGAAGGAUCACAUUAUAAACAAAAAAAAUUCCACUCCAAAAUGAAAGAAAUUGUAUUACCCAAAAUUGUUCAGUACCCCAGAUUGUUCACCACUAUAUUAAAAAUGGUUGUCCUUUAUAAUGAGUAUUGAGUAGGAAGUGGAGUACCAUUGAAACUACACUCAAAACCGGUCGUAAUUAACAACCCAAUAAUUACAAAUCCUGGUUGAAUUUUAAAUUGCUAUGCUAGCUAUACACAGGGUUCACUCGACCGAUAGUUAAUUAAGCUGAUAGCUUAAAACCAAACUGAUUAUAUUUAGCUUAUACUGUUCUAUCAAAAAUGUAAGUAACUUUGAGAAAAUAUGUCAUGAGCAUAACCCACAACAUGAAACUACACUUUUCACAAAAAAAAAACAUGAAACUACACUUUUCACAAAAAAAAAAAAAAAACAUGAAACUAGAUGUGAACAUAUUCGAAAUUUGGAAUCACGCAAUAUCAUUUGAUUUUCCGGAAAAUGCUUGUUUAGUGUUUUCCUAAAGUCAAUAGUAAUAUUUUUGUCCCGAAAGAAAAAUCUCAUCAUUUUUAGCAAUGCUAGGACAAAACGAAAAAAAAGAUAGAUCUAAUAUUUGCACCGAAAGAAAAUAUCAUCGUAAACAAUGCAAAGACAAAAAAAAAAGUCAAUUAAGAAAAUAUAUAACACUUGGAUUCUUUAAAAGAAAUUAAGAACAAGAAAAACUAACACGGUGAUAUGGACACAUUUAAUAAUUUAAUAUAUGGUUUUAAAGAAAAUCAUACAAAAAAAUUAGAUUUCAAGUGGUUAUCUUUCCACCACGGCAGUACGGGGGAUCGUCGGAAUUAUUAGGUAUGAAUGUAAAUUUUGAGUUAAGGUCAGAUGUUCGUAUUAAAAAUAAAUUUCAAAGUUGUGACUUUAAGUUUCUACUUGUAUAUUAUAUUCAGUUGUUGGAUGAAAUAUAAAUUAGCUAUAUUUUACUGCAAAUAAAUAAAGUUUCUUGUUAAAGCUAGCAAAUAAAUACAUUUUUUUGUGAGGCCAAAUUCCUCUAAAACAUUUUUCUUUAAAUGUUUAAAAAUAUAUAAAGGGGAAAUAUAUUUUCUAGUGCUUUUGGUAAAUAAUGCAUCUAAGGGAUAGAUACUUGCUCUCUGUAAUCCUCUCAUUUUUAGUACCUAUCUUCAGUGUUUACUUUGCUAAGAGCUUCUUGAUAGGCAUACAUCUUUGCAAUCUCAGAUCAAUAUACUACAAAUACAUAUACGAUACAGUUAAGAAAAUGAUAUUUCUCUUACAACUUUUUAUAUGGGUUUUAUAAACAAGAGAUCAACUGAAGGGUUACGCAGCGACCAAUGGCGAAGGUAGAGACAAAGAUACUACAAUAGGGACGAUAAAUAUGACACGAUAUAUACAAAAGAGAUGCCUGUUUCUAUACCAUUGAAAUUUUACGUACAUAACUACUUCAAAGAGCAAGAUGACUUACUUCAUAGGUAAGAGAUAUGGUAAGAGAUUAUAUUUUUCAAUUAUUUGUUUCCAACUACGAAAAACUCCAGUGACAUACAAUCUAAAAGCAUGAAUAUGUCAUAAAAUCAAGAAUACAACAAAAACCAGGAAGAUGGGCCCAAAUUAAAGUCCGAAACUGGACGUGGGGAACCCACAGACAGUGGCGGUCGGAGCAUUACAAAUAUGAAAGAAACGAGGAAGCGUGAAUAUGUCAUAAAACCAAGAGUACUACAGAACCAAGAAGAUGUGCUCAAAGAACGAAACUGGACGUGGGAACCCACAGACAGUGGCGGUCGUGGCAUUACAAAUAUGAAAGAAACGAGUAAGCAUGAAUAUGUCAUAAAAUCAAGAGUACGACAAAACAAAGAAGAUGGGCCUAAAGACCGAAACUGGACGUGGGGAGCCCACGGACAGUGGCGGUCGGGGCGUUGCUAAUAUGAAAGAAACGAGUAAGCAUGAAUAUGUCAUAAAAUCAAGAGUACGACAAAACAAAGAAGAUGGGCCUAAAGACCGAGACUGGACGUGGGAACCCAUGGACAGUGGCGGUCGGGGCGUUGCUAAUAUAUUGUUGGUUUAAAUAUAUAGAUUUUUUAUAUUUAAUUCUAUUAUAUAUAUCAAGAUAUAAACACUAAUAAUUGUUUGUGAUUCAAAAACACUAUUAAUUGUUGAUUACUAAUAAUAUAUAUCAAAAGUUAUAGCGUUUUACCAUAAUUCUAUAUUAAUGUCGUUAUAAAAAUUAGACUCUUGACAAAAUUAAUUCAAUAAAUAUCCCUAACUUGAUAACCCUAAAUAUUAAUUAUUAAUUCUGGUCUUAAUCAACAUACAACCCCGCGCUGGGCGCGGGGACCUCCCCUAGUUACAUUUAAAUAGAAAUAAGAAAUUCAACUUAAAACUAAACAAAUUAAGAAAAUAAUUUUUUAAUCUUUUUGUUGAGAUCGACGUCUUCUCGCCGUUGACGUCUUCCCCUCUUUUUCUUUCUUUCUUUUUGUUUUUUUUAUAUUUUUUACCAAGAGAUUUAGAUUAGGGUUUAGGUGUUCUGCAAACAUCUAACGGAUUGAAAUUAAGAUUUCAUAAACGUGUGAGAGCUUGUGAGUGUUUACAAGUCUCGGAUUGAGUUUACCGGUUGUGAUUGGUUAAACUUCAAACUCAUAUUGUGACGAGAGUUUGCGAGCCUCGCGAGCUGUUUAUUAUUUGAACAAAUAAACUUCAAUCAAAUAAACUUCAAUCGAAUUUCAAUCAAGACUUAUUGUCUUUUGGUCCUAAUAUCCUGCAAAUCAAAUAGAUUAAUCUUCUAGUUUUGUGUCUCGAUAUCUCUACAAGGUGAGAGUUUAGAGACUUGUUGUCUCUUGUUUUCAAAUUUCUGAAAAUUGAAAUAGUUAAACGGGACCUGCACUGUUGGUUUGUAUUUCUGGUUUUGCAAAACCUGCAACUUCUAGUUUGAUCUCAGACUUGGACAGUAUUAACGUUGCGAGCAAGUUGUGUUUUGGUUUAGAUUUCUUAGCAGAUCGAAAUUGAUGAUGGAGUAACGGCGAGAAGACGUCAACGACGUUAACAAAAAGAUUAAAAAAAAGGGAGACUCACAAAAAUGCCCCUUUUUCAAUAUCCCUUUUCAAAAAUGCCCCUUUUAGAUGUCUAUUUUUAAAAAUACCCCUUUUAUGUACAAAAUGACUAAAUUACCCUUCUUUUAAUAAAAGAUAUCAUAAAUAUAUAAGGAAAUAUAACAAAAUUAGGUCCACAAAAUACAAAAUAUUUUUUGGCGGGAAAAGGUGAUCCCCCAAUUUUUCCCGCCAAAACACUUGUAAAAAUUUGUAAAACCUUUAAAAUACCUUGUAAAAUUUUCCCGUAAAAUUUUUUCCCGCCAAAAUUUUUCCCCCCCAAAUUUUUUUUCCCGGAAAAAUUAUUCCCCAAAUUUUUUGUCUUUAAUUUUGGGGGAAAUUUUUGGCGGGAAAAUUUACAAGGUAUUUUAAAGGGUUUUUACAGGGUAUUUAUAAGGUUUUACAAUGUAUUUUAAAAGGUUUUACAACGUAUUUAUAAAGUAUUUAUAAGAUAUUAUAAAAUUUUACAAGCUAUUUUAUAAGGUUUUACAAGUUUUUUAUAAGGUUUUACAAGUUAUAAAUACCUUAUAAAACCUUAUAAGUACCUUGUAAACCUUCUAAAUACAUUGUAAACCUUACAAAACACUUGUAAAUACUCCGUAGAACCUUUAAAAUACCUUGUAAAUAUUACCCGCCAAAAAUUUUCCCGCCAAAAAAAUUUCGGCAAAAAAAUUGCGGAAUCACUUUUCCCGCAAAAAAAAAUUUUUGUGCGGGAAAAUUUUUUGGCGGGAAAAAUUUUUACGGAAAAAUUUACAAGGUAUAUUAAAGGUCUUGACAAGUGUAGUGGCGGGAAAAUUGCGGGAUCAUUUUUCCCGCCAAAAAAUAUUUUGUAUUUUGUGGACCUAAUUUUGUUUCAAAUAAGGGUAAAAUGGUCAUUAAAAAUUAAAAGAGGACAAACUUAAAAAUGGACUCUCAAAAGGGGCAUUUUUGAAAAGGGGUAUUGAAAAAGGGGCAUUUUUAACAAUUUCUCUAAAAAAAAUUAUUUUCUUAAUUUGUUUUAUUUUGUUUAAUUUUAAGUUGAAUUUCUUAUUUCUAUUUAAAUGUAAUCUUACAUGGCACAAUUUCAUUGGCUAAAUUUAGAGGAGGUGAAUGAAGAGGUUCACCCCUAGGAGUGAACCCAAGAAUUGUUUUUUAAGUAACCAUUGUCUUUCCUAUUAUUGAGUUGCUUAUUAUUUCCAGUUUUGCGUAAUUUGGAAAUAUAUAUUUAACUGAUUACAUAAGCUUGGAUUUGGUUUGGCCGGUUCUAAUUCCACAUUGGGUUUUAGUUUUGUUUAUGAUUUAGCAAUUAUCAAAGUACGAUCUUUACCCAAUCUUGCUUUUUUGUUGUGUAAGAGAAUUUCAAAGCAAUUAAUUUGCAAGGUUUAUAAAUAUGAAUAAUAAUAAUAGGGUUACAAUAUCAUGAAAUCUAAAUGAAAAUAAAUAAAAACAGAAUUAGCGAAGCAACUAUAUUGAUGAGCUACGUAAUAACCUAAAUAAAUAAUUGAUAAUAUAUUAACAAUAAGAAAUAAUUGAUACAUGAUAAAAGUUAAGCAUCAGAACUGGAGACUGGAGGGUGCAAUCCGUGUUAGUCUUCUGUGAAACAGUCACAUAUAGCUACCAAGAUUAGUAUGAGAAGCAAACUCACGGUAACAAUUGUUCCGAUGAAUUCAAUUGGACUAACAACCAUAUUGUUUCUUCAACACACCAAAACUUGUCUUCUCUAACUUUUUUUUGUGUCUUCUUUUUUUUUAGCAAGGAUAUUUUGUAUAAGAUGAGUAAUAUAUUAAUAGAGUAUAUAUACAUGUUCUAAUUGCCUUAUAUCCACAACUUGGCGAUCAAAAUUAACAUAACGAAAAAGUUAACAUAACAAAAUCGAAAAACAAAGAGAAAGAAUUAAGUUAACAUUAAAAAAAAGGAAAUUUAAGUGAGUGGGGUAGUUUUUAAGUUUAUAUGUAAGAGAUUGGGUAGUUUAGAUUAGGGUUUAGGAAAAGGGUGGUUUCUACUGUUGGGUGUUCGAUUAUAUCCCUGACCAACUCGAUUAUUUAGGAAAAGGUUGACUGGUCAUGAGUAUAAUAUUUCCAGUUUUAGGUAAAUUAUUUUAUUUAUUUGUUCAAAAAAAAAAGUUAAAUUAUUUUAUUUCGUUUUUCUUUAAUUAAAAAUACGAAAAGUGUACAAAAACAAAAAGAUGUAAAUUGAACCCAAUGCUCAUUGGCUAUUUAAACGGGGUAAAACCAGAUUUUUGUUUUUAAGGUUUUUUGGUUUUUGAUUUUAGUUUCGUUUUUUUUUUUUUUUUUAAUUAUUAGACGUUUUUUCAAUUUUCUAUUUUAAUUUUUAGUUUCUGUUUUGUUUUUAAAAUUUAUUAAAUCAAUUAUAAUUAAAAAGUUAAAAAAAUUACAAAUGCUCAAAAAAUAUGUCACGUAAAUUUGUUGGAGGAAACCCAGAGAAUUUAGUUUUUGGAUUAUGUGAACAAAUUACCAAAAUCUAUUAAAUUUCAUAUUCCUUAUUUUUAAAAUUUACUUUUGUCAUCCUCGUUAAUGGCAGUAAAUUAGUUUUUGUAAAAUCAAAAAUUCAAAACAACUUCAAAAUCUGCAGGCAUUCAAAACAACUUCAAAAUUUGAAGGAUCACAUUAUAAACAAAAAAAAUUCCACUCCAAAAUGAAAGAAAUUGUAUUACCCAAAAUUGUUCAGUACCCCAGAUUGUUCACCACUAUAUUAAAAAUGGUUGUCCUUUAUAAUGAGUAUUGAGUAGGAAGUGGAGUACCAUUGAAACUACACUCAAAACCGGUCGUAAUUAACAACCCAAUAAUUACAAAUCCUGGUUGAAUUUUAAAUUGCUAUGCUAGCUAUACACAGGGUUCACUCGACCGAUAGUUAAUUAAGCUGAUAGCUUAAAACCAAACUGAUUAUAUUUAGCUUAUACUGUUCUAUCAAAAAUGUAAGUAACUUUGAGAAAAUAUGUCAUGAGCAUAACCCACAACAUGAAACUACACUUUUCACAAAAAAAAAACAUGAAACUACACUUUUCACAAAAAAAAAAAAAAAACAUGAAACUAGAUGUGAACAUAUUCGAAAUUUGGAAUCACGCAAUAUCAUUUGAUUUUCCGGAAAAUGCUUGUUUAGUGUUUUCCUAAAGUCAAUAGUAAUAUUUUUGUCCCGAAAGAAAAAUCUCAUCAUUUUUAGCAAUGCUAGGACAAAACGAAAAAAAAGAUAGAUCUAAUAUUUGCACCGAAAGAAAAUAUCAUCGUAAACAAUGCAAAGACAAAAAAAAAAGUCAAUUAAGAAAAUAUAUAACACUUGGAUUCUUUAAAAGAAAUUAAGAACAAGAAAAACUAACACGGUGAUAUGGACACAUUUAAUAAUUUAAUAUAUGGUUUUAAAGAAAAUCAUACAAAAAAAUUAGAUUUCAAGUGGUUAUCUUUCCACCACGGCAGUACGGGGGAUCGUCGGAAUUAUUAGGUAUGAAUGUAAAUUUUGAGUUAAGGUCAGAUGUUCGUAUUAAAAAUAAAUUUCAAAGUUGUGACUUUAAGUUUCUACUUGUAUAUUAUAUUCAGUUGUUGGAUGAAAUAUAAAUUAGCUAUAUUUUACUGCAAAUAAAUAAAGUUUCUUGUUAAAGCUAGCAAAUAAAUACAUUUUUUUGUGAGGCCAAAUUCCUCUAAAACAUUUUUCUUUAAAUGUUUAAAAAUAUAUAAAGGGGAAAUAUAUUUUCUAGUGCUUUUGGUAAAUAAUGCAUCUAUGUUGUUAAGUCGAUUCUUUUAAAUAUAUUUCCUAUUCAUAUCAUCAUUUUAUUGUCUUUGUUAGAGUCAUAUCAUCAUUUUAUCAAAACCAAAAUACUGAAAUCUUGGAAUUCAAUUCUUAUUUAGGUGCGCCUAUCUUCGAUUUUGAACUCCAAGACAUUUUUUUUUUUUUGGCUCCACUCAAAGACGUGUUUGUUGUAGUCCGCUAAGUUUAGAUAUUUAUUUCUAUUAAAUGAACACUUAAAACUAUAUAAUAGUAAUCCAUAUUUCGCUGAUGUUAAAGGAUCGUCAUUUUUGUUUAUUCGCCAUAAGUAUGGGUCGUCUUGUGUAGACGUUACGUUGACUUGACAAUCACAUUUUUUUAAAAAAAGAUUUACGAAAUGUACAUUUUUAUUGACUUUCAUCUUUGGAAGCUUCGUAUUUUUCAUACGGAUUAUAAUUAGUGGUUCCAAUUAAAAGUCAGCCCUACGAUGCCUAGUUAAUCCCAAUCACACAUUUUCAUUGUUUAAAUUUGUAAAGAACUCGUUAAAUGUUUCGCUCGUCAUUAACAACGGAAAAUACGAAAAUCAUUGACAAACAGAAAAUGAAACUUUGGAACUAUUUUUGAUCCAUGAAGAAUUUGAUUUUUUGUCAAUUGAUUAUAAAAAUUAGAAUGGUUUAGAAAUCCAACCCCGAAAAAAAGAAAGUUUACAUAAAGAGUUCUCAUGAAAAACCUUUCUACUUUAUAACAAUCAUCAAUUAAAUAAAUGUUAGUACAUUUGAUCAACCUAAAUCUUUAUGCCAAACUUGUGCUUAGACCCAAAACUCAUCUUUAACACUGCGGUAACACAGCUUAAGCCAUGCAUGUAAUUCAUAAUAUUUUACAACAACCUUACCAACGUAUUAAAAAAAAAAGAACUAACUAAAAUGUUGAGAAAAUGCAACUAAAAAUAAAACGAAUAAAUAAAUAUAAAUUAUUGACACAAUUGCCAAAGAUAAAAAGAAAGUUUACACAAAGAGUUCUUAUGACGAAACUUAUUAUAAACAAAAAAAAAAACCAUCUACUUUAUAACAAUCAUAAACUAAAUAAAAGUUAAUUAGUACAUUUGAUCAACCUAAAUCUUUAUGCCAAACUUGUGAUUAGACCCAAAACUCAUCUUUAACAUUGCAGUAACACAGCUUAAGCCAUAAUAUUUUACAACUACUUAACCAACGUAUUAAGAAAAACGAACUAAGUAACGACACAUGAAUCAGUUAUAUCAACUGAAAUGUUGAGAAAAAACUAAAAUAGACUAAAACAAAAAAUAAAUAUAAAUUACUCAUAUUUUAGAAAAUUAGAGUAACGCAAAAAAAAAAACCAUUGAUAUUUCCACGAGAACAAAACUGGUUUACUCUUACUUAAAGUCAAUAAAACAUUUCUCGUCAAAGACAUACAUAUUUUCAACGAUCCUAGGACCACAAAAUAGUUCAAGCUGACAAUAAAAAAAAAUAUUUCAAACUUCUUCACAAGAAACAAAGAGGACGAAAAAUUAACAAAGUGAAAUGGACACAUAAUAUGCAUAGGGAAGAUGAUUUUAAAAGAGAGGAUGUAAUUUGAUUGGGCAGCUAUUUAAUACUUUUUUCAUAUAGUUUGCACAAACGUCAAUUUGAUUGCCUAAACGUCAAUUUCAUUUUGAUUCUAGAUAUGUCAAAUAGUUUUAUUUCCAACAAGGUUGUAAGUAGUAAUAUGGUCUUUGAAAUAUUUUUAAAUAAGUCUUUUGUAGUUUGCUACAUAUUUGACAUAUAUGGUAUUUUUUAAAUAAAUAAAUAACCAAAUGAGAAUUUUGCGUAUAAUAUAGAUGUAUAUUACAAAAAGAUGUUAUUUAAGUAUUAUUAAAGUUAGCUACUAUAGAUUUUAAGCUUAUUUAUUAGUUUUUUUUUUUUGGGUAGUCAAGUGGUAUUAACACACCUUUUCUUUCCUCUCACUUAGUAAAAAAUAUAACCCACCAAAAAUUGGGUUUGGUGACAUUGAGGAUAUAGCUCGGCAAAUAAACUCUGGUCAAUCGAUCAUUUUGACUAGAUUUAUUUUAUUGCAUAUAUUUCAUAAAUUAAUAAUGUAAUGUUUUCGAUUUGUAAGCUCCGCUUAUGGUCGGUUUACUAUUAACAGUGGUCUCAAAAACUUGUUUCUGAUCUUAUAAAUCAUUACGUGAUUUUUUUCUUUGUUAAGUCUCCACUCAUAUGAUAUCAAAAAUUAUUUUCUGGUAGGUUAUUUAUUCUAAAAUCGCUUCAUCUCAACUAUUUAAAAUUUUUUUAGGAUGAUUGACCGAAAAUAUAAAUGUAUUUUGAUGGUUAGAUAGCCAAUCAAAUUCUUUUAGAUAAUAAUUUUCAUGUACCAUCAUAUUUUCUGAAAUCGAAGUGUUACAAAUAAAACUUUAAAUUUAAAUUAUUAGGUUAUAUAUUGUAACAAUAAUCUUUUUUUUUGGUAGGGGGUACAAUUUAUUAGGUUAUAUAUUGUAACAAUAAUCUCAUAACAUUUCCAAAUACUAUUCAAUAUUUCAUUUACAAGGACUUUUAAUAUGUAUACACGGCAAUAUCAUAAAAUUAUGGUAUUCGAUUUUCAUAUUCAGUUAUCCAAAAUCUUAGAUUUAUUUCUUCUACUCAUUCUUUCUGACUAUAUUUGUUCAUAGAUAUAUCUUUGCAAGGGUGAUCCAAAUUCCCCAGUGGAUCACCACAUACGUAAAUUUAAUUCUGUAUCAUAGAGCUUAAUGUAACUAACAUUUACACAUUGUCACGAGUCAUGCACAAUCCGAACAUAACCCACCAUUCGUAUCAUCGUAUGCAUGGUAAAAUAGAAAAAAAAAAUCCAUAUGCAAGAAUCUGAAAAUAAGACGUUGGUUACAAAACUUAUUUCAUUAAAGAGGUUGAAAAUAGCGAAAUAGAUUGCUACAAAAGUAUACAAAUGGGGAAGACGGGAAAUGUUUAAAAAAAAAAAAACUAUAAACUCUCACAUGUUUAUUAUAUCACUUAAACAAAUUCAGAUUUAAACAUGAAAAUCUAGUUUACAUGCAUUUAUUCAAACGGUAAUGAUUUUAAAGAGAACACUGUGCGCAUGAGUAGUAAGGAUAACUGCUGAUAUCGUAUCGUUCAAGCACAUUGGAAGCCAGACGGAAGCCUUCUGUUACAAACGUUGAGAAGAACGCUAAGAGAUAUAGGAACGUUAAGGUUGAUACCGAGAACGUUAGCCCUAAGAGCAGUGCAGAGGCAAAUCGCAGCAUCGAGGUCAACCAAACCUUGGAUGAGCGAGCAGCAUGGCUGAGCUGAUGGCUGUCCCAACUGCACGUUAAGUAGACCGCUUAGGACAUUCGCACAUACACCGAGUCUGAGAGCAUCGAUAGGACAGUUUCUAGAUGAGCCUGGGGUGCUCGGAGUUGGGACCGAAGGAGUUGGUACGGAAGGAAUUGGGACCCUAGGAGUUGGGACCCUAGGACUGUGCUUAGGACUUGGGUUGCAUUUACAAUCAGUAGCAACGGUUAAGGUGAAAAAAAGGAUGUUGAGGGCAAAGAAAAGAGCAAGAGAGGCUGAGUUCUUUGAAGCCAUUGUUAUUUUUCUUCAGUGUUUUAAGGAUUAUUGAUU